rnacentral:rRNA from 1 species
GUGGGGAAUAUUGGACAAUGGGCGCAAGCCUGAUCCAGCAAUGCCGCGUGGGUGAAGAAGGCCUUCGGGUUGUAAAGCCCUUUUGUACGGAAAGAAAUCCUGGUGGUUAAUACCCGCCGGGGAUGACGGUACCGUAAGAAUAAGCACCGGCUAACUUCGUGCCAGCAGCCGCGGUAAUACGAAGGGUGCAAGCGUUAAUCGGAAUUACUGGGCGUAAAGCGUGCGUAGGUGGUUUCUUAAGUCUGUCGUGAAAGCCCUGGGCUCAACCUGGGAAUGGCGAUGGAUACUGGGAGGCUAGAGUGCGGUAGAGGAUGGCGGAAUUCCCGGUGUAGCGGUGAAAUGCGUAGAGAUCGGGAGGAACAUCUGUGGCGAAGGCGGCCAUCUGGACCAGCACUGACACUGAGGCACGAAAGCGUGGGGAGCAAACAGGAUUAGAAACCGUGUAGUCC